rnacentral:rRNA from 1 species
UACGGAGGGGACUAGCGUUGUUCGGAAUUACUGGGCGUAAAGCGCACGUAGGCGGAUUUGUAAGUCAGGGGUGAAAUCCCGGGGCUCAACCUCGGAACUGCCUUUGAUACUGCAAAUCUCGAGUCCGGAAGAGGUGAGUGGAAUUCCUAGUGUAGAGGUGAAAUUCGUAGAUAUUAGGAAGAACACCAGUGGCGAAGGCAGCCAUCUGGACCGACACUGACGCUGAGGCGCGAAAGCGUGGGGAGCAAACAGG